UACGUAGGGUGCAAGCGUUGUCCGGAAUUAUUGGGCGUAAAGAGCGUGUAGGCGGCCCGAUUAGUCCGCUGUGAAAGUCCAGGGCUCAACCCUGGAAUGCCGGUGGAUACUGUCGGGCUAGAGUCCGGAAGGGGCGAGUGGAACUCCUGGUGUAGCGGUGAAAUGCGCAGAUAUCAGGAAGAACACCAAUGGCGAAGGCAGCUCGCUGGGACGGUACUGACGCUGAGACGCGAAAGCGUGGGGAGCAAACAGG
rnacentral:rRNA from 1 species